rnacentral:rRNA from 1 species
AAAGGAGACAUGAUUUGAAAAAGUUAUAAAUGAUAUUAAUAUUAAUAUAUGGAAACUCAUAAAUUAUAUAUAUAUAAUAUAUAUAUAAGACUUAUGUUAUAGAAAGGAUAAAUUAGUUUGGCAUAAGCCGAUCCUAACUAGAAAUAGUAAAUAAAAAAGUAUGUGAAUUGAAACAUCUUAGUAACAUAUGUAAAAACCAAUAGGGAUAACAGUAGUAUCGGUGAGAGAAUCUGUUGUUGUAUACAAGUAAUACUUAGAAGUAUGAAUAAAGUAGUAUCUACUACUAAUACAUAAACUAUAACAUAAAGUUAAAAGUACUGUAAAGGAAAGAGUUAAAAAAUCAAAUUAUAUAAUAAAAAUAUAUAUAAGAGAUAAAAAGAAAUAUAUUAAUAAAGAGCAACUAUAGUAUAGUGUACCUCUUGUAUAAUGGGUCAGUGAGUUAUUUUUAUAAGCGAAAUAAGAAUUAUAUAUAAUAAGAUAAAGUUUAUAGGAAUAGACCCGAAAGCACAUGAUCUAUAUAUGUAUAGAUAUAUAUUUAAAAUAAAUAUAUGAUCAAAUAGGUAGAUGUAGCAAUAUCUUCUAAAGAUAUGUGUAUAGUAGUGAAAGGCAAAACUGAUGUGCAGAUAGCUGGUUAUCUACGAAAUAUAUGUUAGUAUAGCCCUUAUAAUAGCGUAAACCCUGGUAAAGCACUUAAUACCAUAUGGGAAUAAAUUUAUUUACUAUAUGUAUUAAACCUCUGAACAGGAGUGAUAUGACAUAUAAGGAGUCAGACUUAUUGCGAUAAGGUAAUAAGUCGAAAAGGGAAUAACCUAGACUAUUAAAUGAAGGUCCCAAAUCCUCAUUAAGUGAAUACAAUCCUAUGAGUAGAUAAAUACCUCAAUAUAUUCCAUAAAGGAAUAAUUUUGAUCAGACAAUUAGUCAGUGGGUUUGAUAAUAAUCACCUGUUAAAGAACAUGUAAAAAUGCACUAAUAGAAUUUAUAUCAAAAAAAGAUAUAUAAAUCAAAAGAUAGGAACAAAUAUACGGGUCUAAAUGUAGGAACCGAAUAAUAGAUAUAAUAAAAAAUAUUAUAUAGUAGUAGAUUAUAUAGUGAUAAUAACUAUAAAGACAAUGCUGACUUGAGUAACGAUAGGUAAUUAAGGAUUACCCCUACAAAACACAAGGUUUAACUAUAAAUUAACGGUAUCUAAGUAUAUAUAUGAAGAUAUAUAUAUGAUGAUAGAUAGUACAGGAAAAUGUAGUAACCGUACCGCAGUCCGACCCAGGUGUGUAAAUGAUAAAAAAUAAUCAUAAUAUAAAUCUUAUAACUAAUAAGAAAGAUAUUGAGUAGGAAUGGGUGAAGUAUCAUAAAUGAACUCGGCAAAUAAGGCAAGGCCUGAAUAGUACGACUGUUUACCAAAAACACAGCUUACUGCAAAUAGGAAACUAUCGGUAUAGUAAGUGAUAUCUGUCCGGUGUAAGUUAGAUAAAUAAAUAAUUGACUUAUAAACGACGGUCUUAUCAUGAGGAUCUGAAAGUAGCAAAAUUCAUUGGCAUAUAAUUGGUGUCCCGCAUGAAUGAUUAUACGAUACUAUAGCUGUAUCUAUGGUAUACCCAGUGAAAUAGUAAUCGCAGUGAAGAUACUGUGUAGUCAUAGAUUGACAAAAAGACCCUAUGCAGCUUUACUAUAUUCUUAUACUGUUAUAUAUAUAUAUAUUUAAAUUAAAUAUUUUUAUUUAUAUGUUUAUUUCUUUAUAUAUAUAACUAACCUUUAUUAAGGUACCAUAUAAGAUGGUUAGUUUCGAUGGGGCGUCGGCAUCACAAAACAUAACUGAUGUGUCUAAAUGAUAUUUUAUAUUCCCUUAUAUUUUAUUACUUUUUAGUUUUAUUUAUAAGGCCAUCAUCUUUUUAAGAUAAUAAUAGAAUAAAUAAGUACAGAUACACUAGUUGGCAACUAGUAUUAAUUAAUAUAAUAUUAUUUAUUAUAUUAUUCCUCAUUUUUGAUGUGGAAUCAUAUAUGUAAUACAUAUAUAAUUAAUUUUAUUUAUAAGGAUAAUAACAUAACUGUGCUAUGAUAAUGACACAUACUUGUGGAAUUAGUACUUAAGUAUAGUAUAUUGAACAGGCAAUAUCAUUAGAAUUGAGUGUCGAUUACGGAUUAAAGUUACGCUAGGGAUAAACAGGGUAAUAUCGCUAGAGAGUUGAUAUCGUCAGCGAUGUUUGCCACCUCGAUUGUCGUCUAGACUUAUCCUAUUGGUCGUAGAAGCUAAUAAGGGUACGACUGUUCGUCGUUUAAAAAGUUACUUGAGAUGGGUUAAUUACGACGUGAGUCAGUAAUGAUUUUAUCAUCUAUGACGUUAAUAGUAAUAUGUAAUUAUAUGUGUACGAAAGGAUUAUAUAAUAUAGUUCAAUGGUGAAGAGCUUUUGAUUCUUAGCUAAAACUAUAAAGGAUAAAUAUUGAUAGCUUAUUAAAUAUUAAGCCUUACAUAUUCACUAUAUAAACAUUAAAGAUAAUAAUGUAAUAGUAAUAUAUCUAUGCUUUAUUCUUAUAUAAGAAUAUAGAGGAUAUAAUAAACUAAUAAAUAUAAUCAUUUAUAAUAACAAAUCAUGUCAAAUUAUUUAUAUAUAUUUAUACUAUAUAUUAUUUAUAUUUAAUUAUAUAUAUUAUACAUAUAUUUUUAUAUAAAAAUAUAAAAGUUAGUUAG